UUUGGUAAUCAAAUAACGUUAAUACUAAAAGACGAGCACUCAAUGGGCUAGGGUGGCCCCAUUUGGCCUUACCAACCCCAAGGAAACUCCGAAUACAGGCCUAGAUCGUUUGUACAGACAGACUUUUUGGGUGCUAAGAUCCAAAGUCGAGAGGGAAACAGCCCAGAUCGUACGCUAAGGUCCCUAAGCAAACCGUUAGUGGUAAAAGUAACCCACCGAAUAUUAGGAUUUUAAAUAAAUAAACCUAAUAUUAAAUAAAAGUUGUAUAAAGGCUUUUGAUGAAAUAAAAUUUAUAGAAGGCCCGAGUUAACGGGACUUAAAAUAAAUUGAGUC
rnacentral:ncRNA from 2 species